AGAGUUUGAUCCUGGCUCAGGACGAACGCUGGCGGCGUGCCUAAUACAUGCAAGUCUAACGAGAAAGUUUCCUUCGGGGAGCGAGUAAAGUGGCGAACGGGUGAGUAACGCGUAGGCAACCUGCCUUUAGGUGUGGGAUAACUUCAUUAACAUGGGGCUAAUACCGCAUGUGGCGACGGGUCCGCAUGGACCUGUUGUUAAAGCGGGGGAUUUUUCGGAACCUCGCGCCUAAAGAUGGGCCUGCGUUCCAUUAGCUUGUUGGCGGGGUAACAGCCCACCAAGGCUGCGAUGGAUAGCCGACCUGAGAGGGUGAUCGGCCACACUGGGACUGAGAUACGGCCCAGACUCCUACGGGAGGCAGCAGUAGGGAAUUUUGCGCAAUGGCCUAAAGGCUGACGCAGCAACGCCGCGUGACUGAUUAAGCGCUACGGCGUGUAAAGGUCUGUUAGGGGGGAAGAACGAUACCGUCGUGAAUAAUGUCGGUAUGUGACGGUACCCUCAGAGAAAGCACCGGCUAACUCCGUGCCAGCAGCCGCGGUAAUACGGGGGGUGCAAGCGUUGUCCGGAAUCACUGGGCGUAAAGGGUGGGUAGGCUGGUUAGUAAGUCUGACGUUUAAUCCAUUUGCUUAACAAAUGGCUUGCGCUGGAUACUGCUAGUCUUGAGUCGCGCAAAGGAAGGUGGAAUUCCUGGUGUAGCGGUGAAAUGUGUAGAUAUCAGGAAGAACACCGGUAGCGAAGGCGGCCUUCUGGGCGUCGACUGACGCUGAGCCACGAAAGCGUGGGGAGCAAACAGGAUUAGAUACCCUGGUAGUCCACGCUGUAAACUAUGAACACUAGGUGUUGGGGGGAUUAAACCCUUCAGUGCCGCAGCAAACGCAAUAAGUGUUCCGCCUGGGAAGUACGAUCGCAAGGUUGAAACUCAAAGGAAUUAACGGGGGCCCGCACAAGCGGUGGAGCAUGUGGUUUAAUUCGAUUCAACGCGAAGAACCUUACCGGGGCUUGAAUUGCAAUGGAAAUUCCGGGAAACCGGACUCCCUUCGGGGUCAUUGUAUAGGUGCUGCAUGGCUGUCGUCAGCUCGUGUCGUGAGAUGUUGGGUUAAGUCCCGCAACGAGCGCAACCCUUGCCCUUAGUUGCCAUCAGCUCGGCUGGGAACUCUAAGGGGACCGCCGACCCUAAGUCGGAGGAAGGUGGGGAUGACGUCAAGUCCUCAUGGCCCUUACGUCCCGGGCUACACACGUGCUACAAUGGUCGGUACAGAGGGUCGCAAUACCGUGAGGUGGAGCUAAUCCCAAAAAACCGGCCUCAGUUCAGAUCGGAGUCUGCAACUCGACUCUGUGAAGUUGGAAUCGCUAGUAAUCGCGGAUCAGAACGCCGCGGUGAAUACGUUCCCGGGCCUUGUACACACCGCCCGUCACGCCAUGGAAGUCGGGGGUACCCGAAGUCGCUUUUCCAACCUCUCUGAGGAGGGAGGCGCCGAAGGUAAAACCGAUGACUGGGGCGAAGUCGUAACAAGGUA
rnacentral:rRNA from 1 species